rnacentral:rRNA from 1 species
CCUACGGGAGGCAGCAGUCGAGAAUCAUGCACAAUGGGGGAAACCCUGAUGGGGCGACGCCGCGUGGGGGAAUGAAGGUCUGCGGAUUGUAAACCCCUGUCAUGUGGGAGCAAAUUAAAAAGAUAGUACCACAAGAGGAAGAGACGGCUAACUCUGGGCCAGCAGCCGCGGUAAUACAGAGGUCUCAAGCGUUGUUCGGAAUCACUGGGCGUAAAGCGUGCGUAGGCCGUUUCGUAAGUCGUGUGUGAAAGGCGCGGGCUCAACCCGCGGACGGCACAUGAUACUGCGAGACUAGAGUAAUGGAGGGGGAACCGGAAUUCUCGGUGUAGCAGUGAAAUGCGUAGAUAUCGAGAGGAACACUCGUGGCGAAGGCGGGUUCCUGGACAUUAACUGACGCUGAGGCACGAAGGCCAGGGGAGCGAAAAGGAUUAGAUACCCCUGUAGUC